rnacentral:rRNA from 1 species
UACGUAGGGUGCAAGCGUUUAAUCGGAAUUACUGGGCGUAAAGCGUGCGCAGGCGGUUAUGUAAGACAGUUGUGAAAUCCCCGGGCUCAACCUGGGAACUGCAUCUGUGACUGCAUAGCUAGAGUACGGUAGAGGGGGAUGGAAUUCCGCGUGUAGCAGUGAAAUGCGUAGAUAUGCGGAGGAACACCGAUGGCGAAGGCAAUCCCCUGGACCUGUACUGACGCUCAUGCACGAAAGCGUGGGGAGCGAACAGG